rnacentral:misc_RNA from 1 species
AUCUUGGAAGGGCAUUUCGAUUAAAUUCAAUAGGAAUGUAUGUCCUUGGAUUAUCGAAGGACAAUCCUUAUACAAUUUUUUAACCCUAACCUCCUAGCCUAACGGACUAGUCAUAAGCACAUCAAAGUCCAUUUUCAAACAAGGGAUGGCAGCAGAACAUACAAUCUUAGCACUAGCAUACAAAUGCAUAGAGCCAGGAUUAAAUAACACAUAUACAUCUCUACUAAAGAUGGAGAAAGUACCAACAACUACAUCUGAGGUCUCUACUUCCUCCCUCUGGCGCAUAGUGUACACCUUGGCUGGUGCACCUCUUUAUUCUGGUUGGCUCACUAUGCCCUGACUGCCAGAAGUGCUACCUCUAUCCCUACCUCAGCCUUUACUGACUGUCUGU